rnacentral:rRNA from 1 species
GACGAACGCUGGCGGCGUGCUUAACACAUGCAAGUCGAACGGUGAAGCGCCUUCCUUUUUGGUGGGUGUGGUUGAGUGGCGAACGGGUGAGUAACACGUGAGUAACCUGCCCCCUUCUUCUGGAUAACCGCAUGAAAGUGUGGCUAAUACGAGAUAUUCUGGGUCUGUCGCAUGAUGGGUCUGGGAAAGAUGUUGUUUCGGUGGGGGAUGGGCUCGCGGCCUAUCAGCUUGUUGGUGGGGUGAUGGCCUACCAAGGCGGUGACGGGUAGCCGGCCUGAGAGGGUGGACGGUCACACUGGGACUGAGACACGGCCCAGACUCCUACGGGAGGCAGCAGUGGGGAAUAAUGCACAAUGGGCGCAAGCCGGAUGCAGCGACGCCGCGUGAGGGAUGGAGGCCUUCGGGUUGUGAACAUCUUUCGCCAGUGAAGCAGGCCUGCCUCGUUUGUGGGUGGGUUGACGGUAGCUGGAUAAGAAGCGCCGGCUAACUACGUG